AUCUUCAACGAGGAAUUCCUAGUAAGCGUGUGUCAUCAGCGCACGUUGAUUACGUCCCUGCCCUUUGUACACACCGCCCGUCGCUCCUACCGAUUGAAUGAUCCGGUGAGGCCCCCGGACUGCGGCGCCGCAGCUGGUUCUCCAGCCGCGACGCCGCGGGAAGCUGUCCGAACCUUAUCAUUUAGAGGAAGGAGAAGUCGUAACAAGGUUUCCGUACGUGAACCUGCGGAAGGAUCAUUACCGGUCUUUCCAAANNNNNNNNNNNNNNNNNNNNNNNNNNNNNNNNNNNNNNNNNNNNNNNNNNNNNNNNNNNNNNNNNNNNNNNNNNNNNNNNNNNNNNNNNNNNNNNNNNNNNNNNNNNNNNNNNNNNNNNNNNNNNNNNNNNNNNNNNNNNNNNNNNNNNNNNNNNNNNNNNNNNNNNNNNNNNNNNNNNNNNNNNNNNNNNNNNNNNNNNNNNNNNNNNNNNNNNNNNNNNNNNNNNNNNNNNNNNNNNNNNNNNNNNNNNNNNNNNNNNNNNNNNNNNNNNNNNNNNNNNNNNNNNNNNNNNNNNNNNNNNNNNNNNNNNNNNNNNNNNNNNNNNNNNNNNNNGAGAAGAAACUAACCAGGAUCGCCCCUAGUAAUGGCGAAUGAAGCGGGCUGAGCUCACGCUGCCAAUCUGGAGGCCUCGCGUAUGCAGCGCCCCCCGAAUUGUGGUCUAGAGAGGCGUUAUCGGCCGCGCCCGCCGCUCAAGUCCCUUGGAACAGGGUGUCGGAGAGGGUGAGAAUCCCGUACCGUGGCGGGUUGCGGCCUUACGAUGCGUCCUCGUCGAGUCGGGUUGCUUGGGAUUGCAGCUUGAAUUGGGUGGUAAAUUCCAUCUAAAGCUAAAUACUGGCGAGAGACCGAUAGCGAACAAGUACCGUGAGGGAAAGAUGCAAAGAACUUUGAAAAGAGAGUCAAAGAGUGCUUGAAAUCGGUAGGAGGAAACCCGGAUGGGCCCGGCUUCGGCGCGCCGACUCAGCCUGGGGUUCUCCCCAGGUGCACUUCUGCGCGCCGGGUCAGCCGCGCCUCGGCGCCGCGCCUCAACCCGGGAGCGGGGCUUUACGGCCAGCUCCCGUCCUGGCGCGGCCCGGGGCCCGGCUGACGGAACGGGCCCCUCCGACCCGUCUAGAAACACGGACCAAGGAGUCUGACACGUGUGCGAGUACCCGGGUGGCAAGCCCGCGUGCGGAAUGAAAGUGAAGGGCAUGCCCUGCCAACCGACCUUGACCUGCUGUGAGGGGUUUGAGUGGAGCACACCUGUCGGGACCCGAAAGAUGGUGAACUAUGCCUGGGUAGGGUGAAGCCAGAGGAAACUCUGGUGGAGGCUCGUAGCGAUACUGACGUGCAAAUCGUUCGUCGAAUCUGGGUAUAGGGGCGAAAGACUAAUCGAACCAUCUAGUAGCUGGUUCCCUCCGAAGUUUCCCUCAGGAUAGCUUGAACGCAACGGUUUUGUCAGGUAAAGCGAAUGAUUAGAGGCCUGUGGGCUGAAACAGCUUGCACCUAUUCUCAAACUUUAAAUGGGCAAGAGGCCCGGGAUGCUUGAGUGAUCCCGGGCGGCGAACGGCGCGUUCAAAGUGGGCCAUUUUUGGUAAGCAGAACUGGCGAUGCGGGAUGAACCGAACGCCGCGCUAAGGUACCCAAGUGUCCGCUCAUCAGAUACCACAAAAGGCGUUGGUACCUCCAGACAGCAGGACGGUGGCCAUGGAAGUCGGAACCCGCUAAGGAGUGUGUAACAACUCACCUGCCGAAGGUACUAGCCCUGAAAAUGGAUGGCGCUCAAGCGGACCACCGAUGCGCGGCCGCCGGCGCGAGCGCGAGGCGCCGGCGAGUAGGAGGGCGCGGGGCUCGCGGCGCAGCCUUGGGCGCGAGCCUGGGUGAAGCGGGCCCCGGUGCAGAUCUUGGUGGUAGUAGCAAAUAUUCAAAUGAGAACUUUGAAGACUGAAGUGGAGAAAGGUUCCGUGUGAACAGCAGUUGGACACGGGUGAGCCGACCCUAAGAGACAGGAAAACUCCGCCGAACGCGGCUGGUUCUGUCAGCCCGUCCGUCGAAAGGGAAUCGGGUUAAUAUUCCCGAGCCAGCGCGUGGAUGGUGGGCGGCGACGCGAACGAACCCGGAGACGCCGGCGGGAGCCCUGGGAAGAGUUCUCUUUUCUUCUUAACUGCCUCCUGCCCUGGAAUCGGUUUAGCCGGAGCGAGGGCUACACGGCAGGCAAAGCACCCUAAGUCUUGGGGUGUCCGGCGCGCUCCCGACGGCCCGUGAAAAUCUGGGGGAGCGGUUCGUUCUCACGCCUGGUCGUACUCAUAACCGCAUCAGGUCUCCAAGGUGAACAGCCUCUAGUCGAUAGAGCAAUGUAGGUAAGGGAAGUCGGCAAAAUGGUUCCGCAACCUCGGGAGAAGGAAUGGCUCUGAAGGCUGGGCGCAGGGGUCCUAGGCUCGAGGCCGGCUGGCUGCGCGGGGACUACGGCCUCACGGCUGCGGAUCCCGCGCGGCCGUCCGGCGGACGGCCUAGGAGCGCUCCGGCUCUCCCUGCGCGACGAACAGCCGCUUCAGAACUGGCGCGGACAAGGGGAAUCCGACUGUUUAAUUAAAACAAAGCAUUGCGAUGGCCCGCGAGGGUGCUGACGCAAUGUGAUUUCUGCCCAGUGCUCUGAAUGUCAAAGUGAAGAAAUUCAACCAAGCGCGGGUAAACGGCGGGAGUAACUAUGACUCUCUUAAGGUAGCCAAAUGCCUCGUCAUCCAAUUAGUGACGCGCAUGAAUGGAUUCGUGAGAUUCCCACUGUCCCUAUCUACUGUCUAGCGAAACCACAGCCAAGGGAACGGGCUUGGAAGAAUCAGCGGGGAAAGAAGACCCUGUUGAGCUUGACUCUAGUCUGUUACUGUGGAACGACUUGAUGGGUGUAGAAUAUGCGGGAGGGGCAACCCGACAGUGAAAUACCGCAACCGUCAACGUUGUUUUACUUACUCGGUGGCGCGGAGGGAGGCUCGCCUCACUUCUGGAUCCAAGCCGCUUCGUGCGCGCGAUCCGCGUCGGGGACACUAACAGGUGGGGAGUUUGGCUGGGGCGGCACGUCUGUUAAAAAAUAACGCAGGCGCCCGAUUUUGAGCUCAAUGAGAACAGAAAUCUCAUGUGGACCGAAAGGGGAAAAGCUCGGUUGAUUUUGAUUUUCAGUACGAAUACAAACCGCGAAAGCGUGGCCUAUCGAUCCUCUCGUCUUUGGGAAUUUCAAGCUAGAGGUGUCAGAAAAGUUACCACAGGGAUAACUGGCUUGUGGCUGCCAAGCGUUCAUAGCGACGUAGCUUUUUGAUCCUUCGAUGUCGGCUCUUCCUAUCACUGCCUCGCAGCGGGGGCCAAAUGCAGGAUUGUUCACCCACCAACAGGGAACGUGAGCUGGGUUUAGACCGUCGUGAGACAGGUUAGUUUUACCCUACUGCUGUCUGUUUUUCUACGGUAAUUUGGUUCAGUACGAGAGGAACCACCAAUUCGCAUCAUCGGUAUAGCCGCCGCCGGAAACGGCGAUGCGGCGAAGCUGCCAUGCGCCGGAUUAUAACUGAACGCCUCUAAGUUAGAAUCCAUGCCGGAAGGAAAGCCACCUACCGGCCCGGGGACGCCACGAGCAACGGUAGCACUGCCUGAGCCGCGAGCGACCACAAUUCACGGACCCGGGCCGACGAAUCCCUUGCAGACGACUUGAAUAAGGAACGGGGUAUUGUACGCGGCAGAGUGGCCUUGUUGCCACGAUCCGCUGAGAUUCAGCCUUGGUUCUGACGAUUUGUUGCGCGCGCGCAACAACCCUCAGGGCCUCUCCCGUUCCUCAGUCGCUCUCUCGGCGCUCUCCCCCCCUCGCCUCUCCUCCGAGCCUCACUCGCUCGGGGGCGGAGCCGAGGGGGCGAGAGCGCGAUUUCUGCCCAAGGCAGCGCGCAGGCCACUGCGCAAACACACCCGGCUCUCCCCGAGCCGCCACUGGGCGCUCCCGCGGUCCCCUCCGGGCUGAAUGCGGCCUCCGGAGCGGGCGGCGCGAGCGUCUGAGUCUACUCAGAGCCUUCCACGCUCUUCUUUGCGUUCCAAAGCACCCACUUCACCGUUACCUCCACCGCCCUCGCCACCGCCCACGCCGCCGCUACCAUUCCGGCCACCCUCCCCACCCUCAUCCCCAAAUUGCCCCCGCCGCCCGUUGCAGCUGCCGUCGCCGUCGAGCCCGCCCUCCGGACGCUAGCCCCCGCCCUUUACCGCCGCCCUCGCCGCCACCCUCGCCUCCGUGUGACACUCCGCCUCCCGCCCCGCCGCCGCCGCCCUCCAGCAUGCCGCCGCUCUCACCCUCUCCCCUCCAGCCGCCCCACCGCCCUAGCUGGCCGCCCCCCCCUCGCCACCACCGUCACCUCCACCGCCCUCGCCGCCGGCCUGCCCCAAGGCAGUGCGCAGGCCACUACGCAGACACACCCGGCUCUCUCCGAGCCGCCACGAGCCGCUCCCGCGGUCCCCUCCGGGCUGAAUGCGGCCUCCAGAGCGGGCGGCGCAAGCGUCCUACCCCCCUCAGAGCCUUCCAUGCGCUCUUCUUUGCGUUCCGAAGCACCCUCUGUAGCAUCACCCAGUCACCUCCCUUGCCACUCUCCUUGCGCACUUGGCCGAGGCGUCGCCAGGCACGCACGCCGCUCCCUCCAACCCCGUGUCGGCCUGCCGCCGCCCUCGCCUCCAGCCGCCCCGCCACCCUCACCGCCACCGCCCUCGUCACCACCGUCUCCACCGCCGCUGCUCUCACCACCCUCGCCACCACCACCAUGCCCGCCUCCCUCGCUGCCACCCACGCCGCCGCCACCGCCCCCACCCCCUCCGCUGCCCUCGCCCUUGCCGUCACCGCGCCGCGAGAUCUCUUACCUACCCCCGGCCCUUGCCCUCGCCCUUGCCGCCGCCCUUGCCGCCGCCCUUGCCGCCGCCCUUGCCCCCGCCCUCGCGCCGCCGCCUCCCGCCCCGCCGCACCGCACUCACCCCCGCCCCCCUCGGCCUGCUGCCACUCUCACCACCCCUCGCCCUCGCCGCCGCCGCCCUCGCCGUCGCCACCGUCUCUGCCCCCUCCCUCGCCGCCGGGGCCCGGCCUCGCGGCCACGGCACCCUUGCCCCCACCACCCUCCUUCGACCUUCCGCCCCCGCCCCUGCCCCCACUCGCCGCCGCCCUCCGCCCCCCUCCCGCCUCGUUCCCCCUUGGGUUCGUCAAGCGCCCGCCGUUCAAGUUUCGGGCGUUCAUGCCUAAGUGAGGGUGUGUGCGUCUUGGGUCCCGGGGUUGUGUUUUUGUGUGAACGGGAAUGCGCCACGUGUGAUUUUCGGGGCCUGGGGUUGUGCGUUUAUGUGAACGGGAAUGUGCCGCCCUGAGACGGGCAAAGGUUCACGAGGUCGAGUGUUUCUUCCGCGCCCACCCAAGCGGGCGGACUCACUCGCUGCCGGCUUCACCAAGACCGCGACAAGCUCGUCGGCAUGCCGCCACGCAAGCGCAAGGCGGCUAAGACCUCCGCGCCGGUGGUGGUCGAGCUCUCAUCCGACGACGAGCCGGCGGCCGACUCGCGCCGUCGCUCGCGGCGCAAGCAGGUUCGCGCACAUGCGCCUCGCUCUGUGGCGUGCGUACGGCCGCCCCUAACACACGUCCGCCUUGACCGGACAGAACACCAACCACGAGCCGAUGGGUCCGGAUCGGCGACGGAGGACGCGAGCCCAUCUGCCUCACCUGGGGUGACUACCGCCGGCUCGGCACGCCAGACGGCACGGUCGGCCCGGAGCAGCUGCUUCUCAACGACACCCUGGUCGAAUGGUACCUGCGCUUCAAGCUCGAGAAGCAGCUGCGCCAGCUCGGGCUCGCCGAGCGGACCUACAUCUUCUCCCCUUUCUUCAUCAAGCGCCUCCGCCUCGCCCUGCAGCGCCGAGGCGCCCCUACACGCAACUGCGGCGGUCGCUACACCUCCCUCGCAGCACACCACACACACCAGCGCACACGCGCACGCGCUCACGACGGUCCGCCCGCGGCCCGCUGGUCGGCAGGAGAGGCGCUGCGCAAACUGCUCAUCAAGUGGGUCGCGGGAGUGGACCUGCUCUCCAAGGCGAGAGAGGAGCCGAGAGGGGCCGAGAGGGGCCGAGAGGGCAAACACAGAUCAGCUCGAGAUCAGCCCGCGAUCAGCGCGAGAUCAGCGCGAGAUCAGCGCGAGAUCAGCGCGAGAUCAGCGCGAGAUCGGCCCGAGAUAAGCCGGAAGUCAGCCCGAGAUCGGCCCGAGGUGAGCUCGAGGCCCUGCUCGCCUGUCCCCGUCCACGAGCCCCGCCUCGGGGGCCACUGGUCCCUCGGCGUCGUCUGCUUCCCGGGCUCGCGCCACCUCAGCAGUAGCAGUAGCAGCACCUGCCAGCCCACCACCCACCACCCACCAACCACCCUUCACCAGUCGGUCGCCGCCCUUCGCCUCCCUCUCCCGCCGAGUCUCGCGCCCCUCCCUCACGCCUCCCUCGCGCCUCCCUCACACCGCCCCCUCCGAGCAGGCCUCGUCCUCGCCAACGCCCAGCCGGCCCAGCCGGGAGUGGCAGAGGCGCAGGCGGCGGCGGCCUCGUGCGGAGGCUCGCCUCCCUUUCUUCCCUCUUCCCCUCUUCCCCUGCUCCCCUCCUGCCCUCCUUCCCUCCUCCCCUCCUCCCCUCCUCCCCUCCCCUUCCUCGCUGGCGGUGCCAGCGUCCGCCUGCACGCCCUCGGCUUCAGCCUCUAGGCAAGCCCUGCCUCGGCUUCAGCCUCUAGGCAAGCCCUGCCUCCUCUUCCUCGGCUCCUUCCUGCAGCACCGCGGACACCGCCAGAAUCUACGGCGACUUGCGCAUGUCGUCGCGCCGCCGCCGCGCCGCCUCGCCUCGCCUCGCCUCGCCUCACCCGCUGCAGCCGCUUGCCACAGGUUCCUCAACCUCUACACCGCCGCGCGCAGAGAGGAGCUGCGCCUGCCGCAGGCGAGAGAGGCGGCCGAGAGGUGGCCGAGAGGCGGCCGAGAUGCCAGCCGAGUUCAGCUACGGCGCUCGCCACGCCCUAGCCACGUCCGCGACACGUCCGCGACACGUCCGCGACACGUCGCUUGCAGGUGGCGGUGU
rnacentral:rRNA from 1 species